GCCACCGUAGCUCAGCCGGUAGAGCGGCGGUUUUGUAAACCGCAGGUCGGGAGUUCGAGCCUCUCCGGUGGCU
rnacentral:tRNA from 1 species